UAUUAAUCACUAUUUAAUUAUAUCACUAUUUUUUUUUUGUCAUUCUAAAUGUUUUGCGCGGAAAACUUUCACCCCAUGGUUCAAUGAUUAAGGUAUCUGCCUGUUAAUCGUAAGGUGAGCCUCACCUCCUAAGUCGAUAUACAUAAGUUUGAUCCUAUAUCUGUCAUAUAAGUGAGCCAUGAACACUAAUGAAACCCAUGACAAUUGGAUGAACGUAUUGAAAAAAUAAUGAUGUCAGUAAACGCGAAGAUGUGGGGAGACUCGUCGCGACGAUGCAGAAGCUGCCGAUAAACAAAAUUUCUGAUAUUGACGCUUAUUGGGCACUCAACCUGUAUUGUAUAGAAGCACACCAAAAUUAAAUAUGUUUAUCUUUUCCAAAUAAAACAUAAGACGCCUUGUAUUUAUGAAAAAGUAUAAAUCUUUAAUAUUUAAUAGUAAUAUCACUGUGGAAAGUACUCGAGGUGCUGAAUCGCAUGCCAAAUGAAAGGUUUUAAUAAAAUCCUUUUUUAACAUACAAACAUUUGCUAAAACAACUUUGAUUCAUUAUAUUAGAGAUAAUGCGAACAUUGGUGUCAUCUUACAAAAUAUUUUCACAUUCUUCCUCCAAAUACGCGUCUAUCAUCCUGAACAGACAUUUCCUUCAUAAGUUACUCAAGAAAUUUGAUUUUCUCUU